rnacentral:rRNA from 1 species
GAUGAACGCUGGCGGCGUGCCUAAUACAUGCAAGUCGAGCGAAUGGAUUAAGAGCUUGCUCUUAUGAAGUUAGCGGCGGACGGGUGAGUAACACGUGGGUAACCUGCCCAUAAGACUGGGAUAACUCCGGGAAACCGGGGCUAAUACCGGAUAAUAUUUUGAACUGCAUGGUUCAACAUUGCAAGGCGGCUUCGGCUGUCACUUAUGGAUGGACCCGCGUCGCAUUAGCUAGUUGGUGAGGUAACGGCUCACCAAGGCAACGAUGCGUAGCCGACCUGAGAGGGUGAUCGGCCACACUGGGACUGAGACACGGCCCAGACUCCUACGGGAGGCAGCAGUAGGGAAUCUUCCGCAGUGGACGAAAGUCUGACGGAGCAACGCCGCGUGAGUGAUGAAGGCUUUCGGGUCGUAAAACUCUGUUGUUAGGGAAGAACAAGUGCUAGUUGAAUAAGCUGGCACCUUGACGGUACCUAACCAGAAAGCCACGGCUAACUACGUGCCAGCCGCCGCCGUAA